GGGCGUAAAGAGCUCGUAGGCGGUUCAGUUAGCGUCUGCUGUGAAAUCCCUAGGCUCAACCUCGGGCCUGCAGUGGGUACUGGGCAAACUAGAGUGUGGUAGGGGAGAUUGGAACUCCUGGUGUAGCGGUGGAAUGCGCAGAUAUCAGGAAGAACACCGAUGGCGAAGGCACAUCUCUGGGCCAUUACUGACGCUGAGGAGCGAAAGCGUGGGGAGCGAACAGGAUUAGAUACCCUGGUAGUCCACGCCGUAAACGUUGGGAACUAGAUGUAGGGUCCAUUCCACGGAUUCUGUGUCGCAGCUAACGCAUUAAGUUCCCCGCCUGGGGAGUACGGCCGCAAGGCUAAAACUCAAAGGAAUUGACGGGGGCCCGCACAAGCGGCGGAGCAUGCGGAUUAAUUCGAUGCAACGCGAAGAACCUUACCAGGGCUUGACAUAUACCGGAAAAGCAUAGAAAUAUGCUCCCCGCAAGGUCCGUAUACAGGUGGUGCAUGGUUGUCGUCAGCUCGUGUCGUGAGAUGUUGGGUUAAGUCCCGCAACGAGCGCAACCCUCGUCCUGUGUUGCCAGCACGUAAUGGUGGGAACUCAUGGGAGACUGCCGGGGUCAACUCGGAGGAAGGUAAU
rnacentral:rRNA from 1 species